rnacentral:rRNA from 1 species
GACGAAGGUGGCGAGCGUUGUUCGGAAUCACUGGGCAUAAAGCGCACGUAGGCGGCUAGGUAAGUCGGAUGUGAAAUACCUCGGCUCAACCGAGGAACUGCGUCCGAUACUGCCUGGCUUGAGGUCCGGAGGGGAGAGUGGAAUUCCCGGUGGAGCGGUGAAAUGCGUAGAGAUCGGGAAGAACGCCGGCGGCGAAAGCGACUCUCUGGUCGGAAUCUGACGCUGAGGUGCGAAAGCUAGGGGAGCAAACGGGG